GGUUGGGGGAGGAAGGCUCAAACCAUCAGGCUCUGGGUUUCGUUUCCUGCUGUCAUUUUCCUAGCAGUGCCCACAUAACCCCCAUCCUGCCCGCCCCCAGCUUGGGAACCCUUAACUCAGACAUACUUAUCAAGGGAAAGAAAACAGUCUCAUUGUUCAGGAGGAUAAGGACCAGCUCCCAGGAGACGCCUCAGACACGGCCCCUGUGGGUGGAGUCCUGGGUACAUGGCCUCCCCCAGGGGCCUUGUUCUCUGCCCAGGAACGGCCCCAGGGAGGGCCCUUCCCAGAAGCAGUCCUGGGCAGGGCCCCCUUGAGGAGCAGCCCUGGCAGGUGGGUCCUCGCCUUGUACGCUGCCUGCAGGUGCUGGAUGCUCCACAUGUGGGCACCGGGGAUGGUCCCACUUGAGGCUUUGAGCUCCGGCGAGGCCACCCUCUGUCCAGCCAGGGGGAGGGUGCCUCUGAGAAGGGGGCUGUCAGAGUUGCCUGAGGAGGGGGCUGGGAUGACCCCUAUCAAUCCCAGUCCUGGGGUUCCUUGGCUCUUGUCCCUCCCUGCAAGUGGGGAGGCCAUGAGAAGUUGUGGGGAAAGGCCCCAGAGACCCCAGGGCAGGGAAGGAGGCCUGGGGGCUGUGCUGGGGCCUGGAAGGGGGAGGCCUUGUGCUGCUCCCUGUGGUCUGACGGGCAGGAGGUUAGAGGGAGGGGCAGGCCUGCUUCCAGCAGGGUGGUCAGUGCAGGGCAGUCAGCGCAGGGCGGAGGUCUGUUUUCUCCUUGGUUAUUUCAGGUAAACCGCAUGCCCCGGGCCCCCAGAGUGGGAGAAAAGCCAGUUCAUGGCCCUCUCCCCACCUUCAGCACUGCCCCUCCCCCCAGUCUCCACCCUGGCAGGGCUGUGGGGCCCGGGGCAUCAGCUGAGCCCACUGGGCCCACAGCACCCUCAGGACCUCGCCACCCCUUGGGACCCACAGGGUAGCAUUCCAGGGCUUCUCCUACACAGGGGGCUCCAUUCGCCCGAAGGCCAAGGACUGCAGAGCUCAUCAAUGACGUCUGCCACUGACAGUCUUGGAGCCCUGUCAAGGGGACCUGUCCUGCGCUGGGCUGUCCACAGAGGAGCAGCGUGGAGGAGCUGGGAGUGCCCAGCCUGCCUGUGGGCUGCAUUGCCGCUUCCUGCCCAGGAGCCCUGCAGCCGUCUGUCCGCCUCUGAGUAGGACAGUGGGGUUUCCUGGCCAGGAGCAGAGUUUGUCACAUUCCAGUUAUGUCUGCCCAAUGUUCAGCUUUUGGUGAGUGUCAAAGAGUCAGCCCCACUCUGCGGGCGGGAGGGGACCUGAGAUGUGAAUCCAGGGGAGUUAAAAGGCUUCGGAAAGCAUCCAAAAGUAUAGAGAAAAAAAGGAUAGUUGAGGGGCUGGGACGAUGCAAGCCUUUUAUUUUCAUCCUUUAACUUUUUUUGCAUUUCUGUAUUUUCCACCAUGAACAAAGCUCAUUGAUAAUAGAGACUGAAAUAUUUCAUGGAUGAUUCAAAGAGAUAAUCUGAAAAGGGAAAUAACGUUUUUCUAGGGUCUGGCUGAAGCUGCCCUGCGGAUUAUGCAAAAACCUGUCUGAGGGAGUGAGAACGCAGAGGCACCUUAGAGCCAGCCAUGGCUCCAAGCUCUGAGGAUCUGCAACAGACACACAUUGGCUGGGCCUGAGCAAAGAGGGAAAGCCACUCUCCUUCAGCAACGAAGGAGUGGGGAUAGCAAGGGCUGAGCUUGUACAUGCACACCUGUGUGCAGCCACACACAUACACCUGUGCACACACAUGCAUAUGCUCAUAUAUGUGCACACAUGCAGGCCCGUGCUCACAUGCAUGCAUACCUCUGUGCCCCCACACUUAAUGCACAUACAUGUGCACAUGCACACCUACACACAUUCCUAUGCACCCACCCAGUGCUCAUGACAAACCUGUGUGUACUUACGUGUGUACAUCCAGAUGCACCCACACACUCGCACACAUGCCUCUACGUGUACGCCCAUGGGCACGUGUGCUCACAGAGGCCUGGAAGGUGCUGUUUUUCCACGCGACGAUGGCUGCCGUGCUCGGUGGGAGCAGCCGCGUUGCUGCCUGUUCCCGUGCCCCAGUCUGGCCGUCACUCCUCACCCUCGUCAGGCUCAGGGUGGGAGGGUGAGUAGCCUGGAGUGGCCUGGUCACGUAGGUGGGCAGCCAGCUGGGGCACUGACCUCCAGAUGGGCCACGAGAGCCCUUCCUGCAUCUUCUGAGUCCCUGACUCAGUGCCCAGUGAGGGUCCCGGAGGGCAAAAGAAUGUCUAACGCUCCACCUGUGGGCGGGUCUGGCCUUACGGAAACUUCUCCAUGGCAGGUGGAGGCCUGGUUGAGUGGAGCAAAGGGCAGGCAUUCCCAGUGAUCAGGAGCUGGGGCCAGGCCUACUGACACCUUGAUGCUGAGGGGCCAGAGCGGUCCUGAGCGAUGUCCCGAAGGCCCAGGGUCUGGGCAGGUGGAGGCAGAUGGACCAAGCAGGGCCUUUGUGUUCCAGGGCACUUUGCAGGCAGCAGGACCCCCAGGUCCUCUGGAGAGGGUGGCUGGAGACCCGGCCUGAAGCUGCUGCCCCCAACACCACAGGAUACCUGCCUGCAGGUGCCAUCCAUUGCUUGGGGGCUGCACAGAGCAGUUUUGAGCAGGCAGUGGGGUGUCACCUUGGAGUGGCUGUGAGAUGUGCGGGACCCUUGGGGGCCACCUGGGGUCAAGCCCAGCCCUGCCUCUUGGGCUCUGGGACCCUGGGGGAGCCACUCCGUGCUCUGUGCCUAGGUCUGUGACCCUGGAGGAGGGCGGUGCUGUCCAUCUCCGGGGACGAUGGUUGCAUCUCAAGGGUAAGGGCCCCAGGCCUGCCAGGUGCUUCGAGUACAGUCCAGGGGCGGCCUCUCGGGGCUGCUCUGGUGGGCGGCCAGACCCUGCUGGAAUGUGACUCUGUUCCUGGGAUCAGGACCUGCCCUGUUGCUUGUGGGCAGGGUUGCCUUUGUCAGGUCCUGCCAUUUCUGAGCCUCAGUUUCCCAAUCUGUGGUGGGGUUGACGUGAGGAAAUGAGAAAUGCACCCAGGGAGCACUGGCUGGCGCUGCAGGGCAGCAAGGGGGAGCCACCAUGGUCACUCUUGGAAAAGUCCCCAGCCCUGCACCAGCAGGGCAGUAAGAAAGUCCACGGCUGCCGCUGUCCUGGAGAGAGGCAGCAGCCCGGGAGAGGCAGCAGCCCUGGCCACACCCCUGCCAAGAGCCAGCUCAGGGGCCCAGGGCCGCUGAGAUCACUGGGCAGUUCCCAGGCUGGCUGGGCUGUCCCCUCGUCAGGAGGGCAGGGCUGGCAGGUUUGUGGACGCCUUCCCAGGCUGACCCCCACAAUAGCCGCCCUGCUCCACCCUGAAUCUACCCGUCCCAGGCUGCGCCUGCCUCCAAGUGCCUGAUUGGAGAUGGCCAAGCCCAUUCCUCAUGUACAAAGAAUUUCCCGAGCAGCCACAGCUGCUGCAGCUGGAACUUGUCUCCAGAUGGGUCGUUCCGAGGGAAACCAGCGUCUCCUGUCUCCUCCUGCAGACAUGGGCUGGCGUCCGAGCCCUGGAUCCCCUGCCCUGGCUUGGCUUCCUCUGGAGGGGAGAUAAGGGGCUCCUGACAUCUUGUAGGCUGAAGAACCCGCCCAGCACGCUGACAGGGAGGCGCCAGAGGCAGCCGCAGACCGGCCUCAGCCCCUGCAGCCCCUCCCCUCUUGUUGUUGCAGAAAGAAGCCCUCAGGGCCCAAGGUCGACCCACCCAGCCAGGGGACUGCUCUGUAGCUGUGGCCCACUCCAGCCAACCCGGGAGUGAGGGGCUCCGAAGCGUGCCCAGCACAUAGGGAGGGCUCAUUCCGGGGGGCACCGUCUCCCAGUCAGAGCAGGCUGGAGCUGGGCACAGCCGAGGAAGAGCAAACGUGUUCUGUCCUUGACUCCUUCUCCAAGUUUGUGAUGGCAUCUGCCAUGGGCCAGACAGGGGCACACGAGAGUGAGCGAGUGGACGUGGCUGCCCUCUGGAGCCUUCCAGGGCGCGAUGGCAGGUGUGGAGAGGCACACAGGGAAACCCUGGAGUCUCGCCGAGGUACAAGGCGAUGCAGAAAGGGCCAGGGAGUUCCCAGAGACUGUCAGGGGCUCCCUGGGCGGAGGCAGAGACCCCCACCUGGCCCCUGGCACCUCCAGCACCAUGGGCGCCCUGGCUAGGGAUCCCUUCCUGUCUGAGGUCAGCGCUGCAAACCUGUGGCUGCGGUUACCCCACCAUGUUUUUUAAAAUUGGAACAAUUCAUGUAAAAGCCCAGAUUCAUUUUUUCUUGAAAAAAAUUGACAGCCAACUGUGACCACAGUGGGCUUGUUUCUACGCAUUGGGGGCUCUUCCCUCGGAACAGGCAGUGCUCUCAGUUGCCGUAGACGCCCCCCACUCCCUGUCAUCUCACCCGGUCCCUGCUGGGCCUCUUUGUGGCCCAUCCCCUGGUUCAGAUAUUUCAUUCAAAGACCCACCCCCCCAGGGGGAGGCCAUCCUUCUCAGGAAGGUCGCUUGGCCUGGACUCGGAACUGGACACUCAUUACUGGUCACCCUGUGACUGGAGCAGGACUUUGCCUUUCUGCACCUCGGUUUCUCCAUCCUAAGAGGGGCUAACGCCUGUGUCGUGGGACUGUCCCGAGGCGCUCAGAAGCAGUAGGCUUGCUCAUGCUUAAGCACAGAGCUCACAGCUGGGGGUGGCCCCUGUGCCACAGGUCCCUGUGUGUGCCCAACUCCCGCUGCAGAGGGCAACGCUGUGUGUGCCCAUGUCUGUGCUGUGGAUGCAAUGUGUAAACUGCACAGCCUUUGACGGUGGCUGCCUGGGUUGGAACGCGGGCCUCUAUGUGUGCUCUCCAACGGCCUGUGGCGGAAGGGCAGCCCCUCCCUUGGUGGGGGAAGUUCUCCAUAGCUUUGGUGCUUGGGAGGUUUGGAGAUGGCUUAGAGAGCCAUCGGGAUGUGAGGGGAUACAUUUAUCUCUGUCUUCUUGGGGACAGACCUCGGAGGUCCCUCUUUCACCCUUAAAGGCCUGGAUGAAUGGAAUCCGUGGGGCAGGAUUCUCAAAGCAAGACUGGUGGGGCCUCACAGGCAUUCCUGGAAAAGGGCUGUGGAGUUAAAAACCCAAGCGGGAAAUAAACAGAACUAGGCUUAGGAAGGGUCUCUCUGGGAGGCCUGUCUGCCCUCCAUCUUUCGUGGGCUCAGGAGCACUGCCUGGGGCUGGGAGCGAGAGCUCGGAUACUUUACGUUCUCUGAGGCGCUGACCGUGGCUCUGCGAGGAGGAGUGUUCCUCCGGACAGACAUCUUUCAGCGGCGCUGGACUAAGCCAUGGGACAGGUCUGACUGUGGCUCUGCGCUCCCCGCCGCCCCAUCUGUUGCCCCCUCCCCACUGAGAGCUGGGGGAGGGACGGGAUCUUUGUGAGCUGACUUGGGGUCUCAGAGCCGCGGGGAGGGAGGAGUGGGGCUCUCCCUGCGCGGGUUCCUUUUCUGGGUGAGGCGGAGCCUGUUCACCAGGCAGAUCGGGGGCUCCCCGGCCUCCACAGAUCUCCUGGUGUCUCCCCCCAGGCUGUUCACACUUUCUUUACUUGGGGGGCUGAUAAGUCACGCAGCUGGCAGCAUUUGCACCUGAUUCAAGGAGGUGAACAUUUUCCCUGGAGAUUAGCCUUGAAGUCAGGGCUGGUCCCCACCCGGGGACGAGGAGAGGACAGAAGGCUACAGAGGGCUGCACCGGGGGAGGGUAGAUGGGGCGUUCACCCACCCCUGCUGCCGCAUUUUCCUUUGUUGGUUUUGCCCGAGGUCUGAUAAGCACCCUGCUCCAGCCAGAGGCCUUAUCUGGCCGCCUAAUCCCCUGGCCUUGGCUGGAGAACACCAGGGCUUUGCCCAGUCCGCCCUCCCUACCCCCUCCCUGGCCCCUGCAGGCCGUUGGGGCUGGGGGUGGAGGGAGAGGGAGGUGGAGUGAAUACCCCCUUCCUCUUGCUCUUUCUCUUCCAACAGGGCAAGGGGUGCCGGUGGUUGAAGAGGCCCCUCUGGGCAGGAACCUCUCACCUGGGGCACGGCUGAAACCAAAGAAUUCAAGCUCCAUAAGGAAGAACCUAGAGGCCCCCCACGUCAGCCUGCCCCAGCCUGGAGCUUACCCACCAUGGAAAUGUGUCUGUUGGCCUUACAGAGGAGAAGGCAUUUGGGCAGGGCUUUGAGGUAUGAGUAGGAGUUUGCUGAAUGAAAUGAGAGGAAAGGGUUUUCAGGGCAGAGGGAACAGGUUGGGGUGGUAAGAAGGGUCCUGAGGCCCAUAGAGAGUGACUGCUAUGAGUGAGUGGUUGGAACUGGCGUGACUGAAGAUGGGGAAGGACAUCUGGGGGUCGGGGGUGCCAGAGGAGUUGGGGAUUUAUCUGGAAGAUGGUGGGUGCUAAGGCAAGAAGAACCAAUUCCUUUUUCUUUUUGCCAAAGCAAAGCCCUCCAUAGGAUUUCCUUUUGGACUUUCUUUUUGAAAGAGUAAUGCACACUGACAGUAACCAUUUAGAUAAUACAGUUUCUAAAAGAAAAGCAAUGAUCCUUUGCCUCUCCCACACCCACCUUUUCCCCACAAGCCCCCAGAAGGCUGGGGGUCUGCUCUCCCUCCCUUGACAGCUGCAGGAUGUUUUGUGGUGGGGUGUGAGGGGCUUUGGCCAGUCCCUGGAGAUGGACGUGCUGGUGUGUCCAGUUUCCCCAGCCCACUUAAAUGGGUGCAGUGAGUGGCCUUUAUAAGUUCCCCGAAGGGGGCGUGUGGGGGACAGUUACAGACAUGUCGUUUAACAAAUGCUGCAGAUCCCCUUCCAGAAGUGAAGAACAUCUCAGCCGUGCCCUGGCAGGCCUGGCUCCUCCCCCUCCACACCUGAAGUUUCUGUUUAAAAUGUUUGGCCACUGGAGGGGUGAAGACACUCACCUGUGCCUGAGGCACUUUAUUAUCCUGACUGAGCGCGCCCUGCACCUCUCACUGUCCUGAAGUGGCUCGGCCCUCGGGCUUCAUCUGGGCCUUCUGUACCUGAGCCUGGGCUUGGCCCAGCGUGGCCAGUGGGCUCCGGGCCCCUCCUGCCAGCCUAGCACUUCUGAGACAGAAGCCUGGCGCAGCAGGCAGGCACCUCUGGACUUUGAGCCUGGGCCCUUGACAGCCAGGGAGAGGGCGACCCCCAGCACACACUACCCUAACCUUUAGCAACGUCCCCACUGCAGAUGGGGGUGCUAGCCUUGAAAGUUGGGUGCCCCAAGGGUUGGGGCAGGAGGGCAAGGGGCCGCCCCAGGGAGGUGGUGCAUGACACAGCCUAUAACAGGCAGUGACUCACUGCUCAUCCAGCCAUAAAGUCAGGGUGAUAGGCUCAGUGUCCCAGCCGUGCUCCCUGGAGUCCCUGCCCCAACGUCAUUCCCUUCUCUGCAGCCUGCGCUGGGCAGAGCUCCCUCCCCAGGGGGGCCGCCUGGGCCACUCUGGGACCAUCCACCCAUUCCAGACCCACCCAUUCCAACUCACUUGCUACUGCUGGGGAGACUGAGUGCCAGGGAGGGGGAGCAAGGGUAGAUGGAGAACUAACAGUGUCAGAGUCCACAGGUCAUCUGUCCCCCACUUUACAGUGUGGACUGCGGGAGGGGAUCCCAGUGUGGGCUGCAGAGCUCAGGGCCAGGAUGCUCGGCCUGUCCAGGCUGCGAUCUGGAGGAAGCGGGUACUCUCUGCUUAGCCCAGGGCCUUCCACGCUCCUGGGGGCUGCGGGGACAGAUCCAAGAACAUGGGCCCUGGGGCCAUGGUGUCCGAUUCAACCCACGCUUCCUCCCUGUUGACACCGGGCAACUUGCUGAGCCGCUCCGUGCCUCAGUUUCCUCGUCUGUAAAGUGGGAUUCAUAGUAGCUCCUUCCCGACUGGGCUGUCUGGGGAUUGGUGAGUGAUGCCGUGGGGCAGGAUCAUGAUUUACGGGGUGCCUGUAUGUUCUCCCAGAGACGGGAAGGGCCCUGAGGGGUGACUCCUCACCAGAUAGCGGGGUCUCCCAGGGACUAAGCAGGUGGGAGGGAUGGGCGCUGCCCUACUGUGCAGAGCCUUGGCGGGAUCCCUUGACGCUGUCCCCAGGCUCUGCGGGGCCAGGAAUAGGGCCACUGGGCCUGGGGUCCUUGUAGUUCAAGGGUCACCCUGAACUGCGGGGCUCUAACUAUAGAGACCCUGGGGCAGUGACGCCUGUGCAACCUGCCCGCCUGUCACUCCCUCCCCCAACCCCUCACACUUGCCCUGCCUCCUUGACCUGCCCUGCCCACCCCUCACCCUCACCCUCACGCUGCCCCCUUAUCCCGCCCCUGGCACCUGCCCUGCCCUUCCCCUCCUGUGAUGGUUAAUACUGAGUGUCAACUUGAUUGGACUGAAGGAUGCAAAGUAUCGA
rnacentral:lncRNA from 1 species